UACGUAGGGGGCAAGCGUUGUCCGGAAUUAUUGGGCGUAAAGAGCGCGUAGGCGGUCCGAUAAGUCGGCUGUGAAAGUCAGGGGCUCAACCCUUGAAAGCCGGCCGAUACUGUCGGACUAGAGUCCGGAAGAGGCAAGUGGAAUUCCCGGUGUAGCGGUGAAAUGCGCAGAUAUCGGGAGGAACACCAAUGGCGAAGGCAGCUUGCUGAGACGGUACUGACGCUGAGGCGCGAAAGCGUGGGGAGCAAACAGG
rnacentral:rRNA from 1 species